rnacentral:rRNA from 1 species
UACGGGGGGGGCAAGCGUUGUUCGGAAUUACUGGGCGUAAAGGGCUCGUAGGCGGCCAACUAAGUCGGACGUGAAAUCCCUCGGCUUAACCGGGGAACUGCGUCCGAUACUGGAUGGCUUGAGUUCGGGAGAGGGAUGCGGAAUUCCAGGUGUAGCGGUGAAAUGCGUAGAUAUCAGGAGGAACACCUGCGGUGUAGACGGCUUACUGGACCAUAACUGACGCUGAGGCACGAAAGCGUGGGUAGCAAACAGG